AUGAUUUCCUCUAGUGUGUUGCAUCUUCGCUCCACUAGUUUGCACGACUUGAUUUCUAUGCUUUCUCAUGUUGCAUCCACUUCUUGGAUUACUUGCUCCUAUCACAUGUUUGGUUGCAACAAUGUCUUUCCUUCACAUAUGCCAUGUCCCAUUGAUUGCUACAUGCUUGCCUUGAUUGCCUCACACAUGAUGAACAAUUUCUCUUUCUAUUGUGUUGAGUGCCACUCGAUUUUCACUACACCCUAUGCACAUUAUGCUUGGAUUGUCUUGCACUUGCAUGUGUUUAGUCAUAUCAUCUUCUUGGGUGUUGUGAAUGAUUCUUAUGCUUACCCUAGACCAUUUGUUGAGUGCUUUAUGCAUGUUUACUAUGAUCUUGAGGUAGAUGCUUAUUCUCUUGACACACAUAUUUGCAUCGCUACCUCCCAUUUACAUGCUUGUUUCCAUGAUGUCCUUGAUUUUUCUCAAUUUACGUACUUACAUGCCAUGCCACACUCCCUUGUCACACCAUAUGCUAUGCUUGAUGACAACACUUGUUGGGUGAAUCACCUCUUGAAUGCCUGGUUUUGCUUUAAUGCCAACCACAUUUGUUUUUCCAAUUGCUUGUUAUAUUUGCUCCUUUUGAAGGAACUACAAGAUGGUGCGACAUUGGAGAGUGACCAUUUCGAGCUUCAACAUGAUACGUGCUUGGUGGUUGUCCACUUCUACACGGCAAUGCCUUCUCUUCCCCAUGGUGAUGAAGAUCACGAUCCGUGGACGGAUCUCUCCCAAGGGAGGGGGGGGAGAUGA
rnacentral:rRNA from 1 species